rnacentral:lncRNA from 10 species
UCACGCUGGGAGCUGUAGACUGGAGCUGUUCCUAUUCGGCCAUCUUGGCUCCUCCCCCUCUGUAUUAGUUCUUUGAAAGUUUGGUAGAAUUCAGCAGUGAAGCCCUCUCUCCCUAGGCUUUUCUUUGUUGGGAGUGAGUUUUUUUUGUUUUUUUUUUUAAAUUACUGACUCAAUCUCAUUUCUCAUUAUUGGUCUAUUCAGGAUUUCUGUUACUUUCCGAUUCAGUCUUGGUAGGUUGUAUGUGUCCAGGACUUUAUCCAUUUCCUCUGGGUUUUUCCAUUUGUUUGGUGUACAAUUGUUCAUAAUAGUCCCUAACAGCCCUUUGAAUUUCUGUGGUAUUAGUUAUAAUGUCUUCUUGUUUUGUUUCUGUUUUAUUUUUGUCUUUUUUUUUCUUAGUUAAUCUAGCUAAUGGUAUAUGCUAGUCGAUUCUCGCACUGCUAUAAUGAAACACCUGAGGCUGGGUAAUUUAUAAAGAAAAGAGGUUUAAUUGGCAUAUGGUUCUGCAGGAUUUACAGAAAGCGUGGUGCUGGCAUCUGAUCAGCUUCUGGGGUGGCCUCAGGAAGCUUACAAUCAUGGUGGCAUUUGAAGUGGAAGCGAGAGAGAGAAGAGGAGAUGCAACACACUUUUAAACAAGAUUUCAGGAGAACUCAUUCACUAUGGUGAGAACAGUACCAUGCUAUGAGGGAUAUUCCCCCAUGAACCAAAAACUUCCCACCAGGCCCCACCUCCAACAUUAGGCAUUACAUUUCAACAUGAGAUGUGGGUGAAGAUAAAUAUCCAAACUAUAUCAUGAUGUGUUUGAUUUUAUUUUAAUUAAUUUAGAGACAGUGUCUGCCUCUGUCCCCCAGGCUGGAGUGCAAUGGUGCAAUCUUGGCUCACUGAAAUCUCCACCUCCUGGGUUCAAGCAAUUCUCAUGCUUCAGCCUCCCAAGUAGCUGGGAUUACAGGUGUGUGCCACCACACUCAGCCAAUUUUUGUAUCAAUAUUUUUAGUAGAGACAGGGUUUCACCAUGUUGGCAAGGCUGGUCUCGAACUCCCAAUCUCAGGUGAUCCACCUGCCUCAGCCUCCCAAAGUUCUGGGAUUAUAGGUGUAAGCCACCUCACCUGGCCUAUUUACUUUAUUUUUAAUUUUUUUAACUUUUAUUUUGGGUUCAAGGCUACAUGUAAAGGUUUGUUUACAUCGGUAAACUUGUGUCACAGGGGUUUGUUGUACAGAUUAUUUCAUCACCCAUGUAUUAAGCCCAGUACCGAAUAGUUAUCUUUGCUCCCCUUCUCCCUCCUUCCACCCUCUACCCUCAAGUAGACCCCAAUGUCUGUUGUUUCCUUCUUUGUGUUCAGAAGUUCUCAUCAUUUAGCUCCCACUUAUAAGUAAGAACAUAUGGUAUUUGGUUUUCUGUUCCUUCAUUAGUUUGCCAAGGAUGAUAGCCUCCAGCUCAUCCGUGUUCUUGCAAAAUAAGUAGUCUCAUUAUUUUUUAUGGCUGCAUAAUUUUCCAUAGUGUGUAUGUACCACAUUUUCUUUAUCCAGUCUGUCAUUGAUGAGCAUUUAGGUUGAUUCUGUGUCUUUGCUAUCGUGAACAUUGCUGUAGUGAACAUUCGCAUGCAUGUGUUCUUAUGGUAGAAUGAUUUAUAUUCCUCUGGGCAUAUACCCAGUAAUGGGAUUGCUGGGUUGAACGGUCGUUCUGCUUUUAGCUUUUUGAGGAAUCAUCAUACUGCUUUCCACAAUGGUUGAACUAAUGUACGCUCCCACCAACAGUGUAUUGUGUUCCCUUUUCUCUGCAACCUCUCCACCAUCUAUUUAUUGAGUUUUUAAUACUAGCCAUUCUGACUGGUAUGAGAUCAUAUCUCAUUGUGGUUUUGAUUUGCAUUUCUCUAAUGAUCAGUGAUACUGAGCUUUUUUUCAUAUUCUUUUUGGCCACAUGUAUGUCUUCUUUUGAAAACUGUCUGUGUCCUUUGCCCACUUUUUAACGGAGUUUUUUUUCUUUUGGAAAUUUAAGUUGUUUAUAGAUGCUGGAUAUUAGACUUUUGUCAGAUGCAUAGUUUGCAAAUAUUUUCUCCCAUUCUGUAAGUUGUCCGUUUACUCUGUUGAUAGUUUCUUUUGCUGUGAAAAAGCUCUUAAGUUUAGUUAGAUCCCAUUUGUAAAUUUUUGCUUUUGUUGUGAUUGCUUUUGGUGUCUUUGUCAUAAACUCUUUGCCUGUUUCUAUGUCCAAGAUAGUAUUGCCUAGAUUGUCUUCCAGGCAUUUCAAAAAACCUGCUGUUUAUUUUGUUGAUCUUUUGCAUUUUUUGUCUCUUUCAUUUAUUUCCACUUUGAUCUUUUUUUUUCCCCUUCUAGUAAUUUUGGGCUUGGUUUGUUCUUGCUCUUCUGUUUACCUCAGGUGUACUGUUAGGUUGUUUAUUUGAAAUUUUUCUACUUUUUGAUGUGGACACUUAUUGCUAUAAAGUUCUCUCUUAGUACUGCUUUUGCUGUAUACCAUAGGUUAUGGUAUAUUAUUUCUAUUUUCAUUUGUUUCAAGAAAUUUUUACAUUUCCUUCUUAAUUUCUUCCUCAACCCAUUGAUCAUUCAGGAAGAUGUUGUUUAAUUUCCAUGUGUUUUUAUAGUUUCCAAAGUUCCUCUUGUCGAAUUCUAGUUUUAUUCCAUUGUAGUCAGAAAAAAUACUUGAUAUGAAUUCAGUUUUUAAAAUGUUGUUAAGGCUUGUUUUGUGACCUAGCAUAUGGUCUAUCCUGGAGAAUGUUCUAUGUUCUGAUGAGAAGAAGGUGUAUUCUGCCUUUGUUGGAUGAAAUGUUCUGUAAAUGUCUGUUAGGUCCAGUUGGGCUAUAUUGCAGUGUAAAUCUGAUAUUUCUUUGCUGGUUAUCUAUCUAGAUGAUAUGUUUGCUGAGAGUGAGGUGUUGAAGACCCCAGCUAUUAUUGUAUUGAGGUUUCCCUCUCUCUCUUUAGAGCUAAUAACAUUUGACUUAUAUAACUGAGUGCUCUGGUUUUGGGUGCAUGUAUACUUAGAAUUAUAUCCCGUUGCUGAUUUGAUCCCUUUAUCAUUAUAUAGGGACCUUCCUUUUCUCUCUUGACAGUUUUUUACUUAAAGUCUAAUUUAUCUGAUGAUAUAAGUAUAGCUACUCUUGCUUGUUUUGGUUUCCAUUUGUUUGAAUAAUCUUUUUCCAUCUCUUCACCCUCAGUCUGUAGUGUCUUUACAGGUGAGAUUGAGUUUCUUGUUGGCAGCAUAUAGUUGCAUCUUAUUUCUUCAUUAAUUCAGCCAGUCUACAUUUUUUAAAUGGGGAAUUUAAUCCAUUUUCAUUCAAGGUUAUUAUUGAUAGGUAAGGACUUACUGUUGUCAUUUUGUUAGUUGUUUUGGGUUUUUUUUUUUUUUUUUUUUUUGGUAUAUCCUUUGUUUCUUCUUUUAUUGUUGAUCUUUGCAGUUUUCUGAUUUUUUUUUUUUUGUAGUAAUAGGAUUUGAUUCCUUUCUCUUUCUCAUUUGCAUAUCUGUUCUACCAGUGAGUUAUAUAUUUUCAUGUUGUUUACGUGAUGGUAGUUGUUAUUUCACUUCCAGUUGAAGUACUUCCUCAUGCAUUUCUUGUAAGGCUAGUCUACUGGUGAUCAAUUUCCUGAAGUUUUGGUUGUCUGGGAAGGACUUUAUUUCUCCUUUGUUUCUCAGAGAUAACUUUGCUGGACAUAGUAUUCUUCUCUGACAGCUUGUUUUCUUUCAGCACUUUGAAUAUAUCAUCCCAUUCUGUCCUGGUUUUUAUGGUUUUCUCUCCUGGUCUGCUGAGAAAUCUGCUGUUAGUCUAAUAGGGACUCCCCUAUACAUGACUUGACACUCUUUUCUUGUUGUUUUUAGAAUUCUCUAUCAUUUACUUUUGACAGUUUGACUAUAAUAUGCCUUGGAGAAGAACUUUUUGGGUUGAAACUUUGGGGAGCUUUAGAGCAUUGUGUAUCUGGCUUUGCAUAUCUCUCCCAAGACUUGGAAGCUUUUUAGCUAUUAUUUCAUUAAAUUUUCUAUGACUUUUCCCAUCUUUUCCACUUCUGGAACUGCCAUAAUGCAAUCAUUUGUUUGCUUAAUAGUGUCUAGUAAGUUUGACAGACUUUCUUCAUUCUUUUCUAUUCUUUUUUCUUGUUUGACUGGAUUAUUUCAAAAGGCAUCUCUUCAUGUUCAGAGAUUCUUCUGCUUGAUGUAAUGUGUUGUUGAAGCUUUCAAUGAUAAUUUUUAUUAAAUUCAGCUCCAAUAUUUCUGUUUUUUUCAUUUUUGAUACCUAUCUUUUUGUUGAAUUUCUCAAAUGAUGGUUUUUUCAUUUUAAUUGAAUUGUCUUUUUAAUAUUCCUUUGCCUCUGAGUUUUCUUAAAGUUAUUAUUUUGAAUUUCUUUUCAGGCAAUUUAAAAUUUUCAUUUUUGAGGUCAAUUACUGGAGAAUUACUGGAGAAUUACUGUGCUUUGUGGUGUUAUACUUCACUGCUUUUUCAUGUUCUUGUCUCCCUUGCUUGAUAUCUGUGCAUUUAAUGGAACAUUCACGUCUUCCAGUUUUGUAGUGUGGCUUUCAUGGGAAAAAACUUUCUUCUACAGAUAUGUCCUAGGGUGUCAGUUGGGUAGGGUGCGUUGGCUUUUCUUUGGGUGGGUGCAAUAGUGUAGUCUUUGUACAGUUUCUUCAGCUAUAGUCAACAUCAGCAAUGCCUGUGUGUGCCUCAAUGGCUUAGGCUGUAGAGAUUUGUAUGGCUAUUCCACCUACUUGGGCUCUGCUCCUCGGGGGGUUGGGUGCUGGGCUGGUCCACGCUUUGGAGAAGUGAGGGGCUGGUAAAUCAGUGGCUUGAGUCAGCUCAGGCUCUGCUCCUCACAUUAAAUCUUGAAAGAUGUGAAUUUCAUUACCUCUUAGUUACAUAAAGCCAUAUACAAACUCUUUGUUGUUUGUUUUAAAUCUUAUCUCUGACUUGGUUAUAAAUGAUUGCACUUUUCUACUAUUUCUAACUACAGUAUAGCAGUGCUGAAACAUCUGGGGGGCAAAAGAAAGUUAGAUAGGCUAGUAACACCAAAGUAAUGCUGAAACCUGGAAGGAAAGAAAACACAUUACUUUCCUCUCCAUUCUUCUUUGCUCCCCUUUGAAUAUAUGCUUAUUAUAAUAGCAAGCUGUGUGACCUUGAGCCAUUUAUUUGUCUGGAGCCACAGCUUCUUUACUUACAAAAUAAAGUUAAUGCCAUUUACAUCUCAGAAAUUGUGAAUAUACAUGAGAAAUAUGUUUAUAAAAUCUCAUGAUAUGCUUGUCACACAGUAAGGUUUGGUAAAGUGAAUCCUUCAACAGCGUUCCCCAAUUCUUUCUCUUGUGCUGAAAGUGGACUAUCUAUCUUAGAAAAGACCAUGCAAACCAAAAUAGAAUGACUUGGCUACAGAGCAGUUUCACUGUCUACUGAUUACCAACCUGUCUUAAUCCAGUGAGAUAGAACACUCCUCCACGCAGGUUACCUGAAGCCAGUGUAUUACUUACAGAUAGGACAACAGAAGCCUAUGAUUCGUAAAAGCCUCAAGAAAGCUAGUUUGGCAGAUGGGGUUUCAUCUGCAUGUGCCACAUUUGCACUGCAGUCGAGGGUCCCAAGAAAGCACUCCACCCUAGGUUUUAUACCCCAGCAUAACAUGAUUCACUGUGCUAAUGUGUUGAAGGACAUGCUGUUUCUAUGAGGGAUUAGAACAGAACCUAGGCUGUUCAGGCUAGUUUCUCCCUAUCUUAAGAUGUUGCAUUCUCAGCAUAUUCUAUAUUUAUUCUUGAGAACUAUGAGUAAAAAAGAGGGGUAACUGUGUCAGUCCAAAGAUACCUGAAGAAUUGUCCUGUGCUAACAGCAGAAAAGUUUCCAGUUGAUUUAAAAUCAAGUGAUUUGCAAUGUAGUUACAAACAAAAUUAUUAAGUGCCUAUUUUGUAUUUGACCCCAUGGUAAUACUGAUUAUGAUAAUAAUAAAAUAUAUUAAGCAAUUAUUUUUACCUGUCAUUCUUUGAAGCAUUAUCUCAUUUACUUCUCCCAGAACCCAGUGAGGUAGUUAGUAUUAUUAUCUCUCAUUUACAGAUGAGGAUAUACUGAGUUUGCAUGUUUAACUCAUCCACAGUCACAUUACUAUUUGUGGUGGAGGAGUGAUUUGAACCCAACCUAUCUGACUGAUUUUUUUAACCAGAUUGUUAAGAAAAUAAACAUCAGCCAUCCCAAAUCUCCCCAUCUAAUCCAGAGGGGAAGUUUACAGCUUGAAAUAAUUACUCUCAAGAGAUUUCAGAGAAGUGGUAGAAAACCAACAUGGCCUUGGUCUUCUACCACUAAGGUUUUAUUUUUAAAAUUAAUGAAUAAGUAGGUCUUGAGUUGCCAUUUUAUAGCUUUGUUCUUAGUUUAACAAGAAGGAGCAAGUAGGAAGACUUUUCAUAGCCCAACCCCCAACACAGUUGAAAUCAGCAUUAGCAUAGAGCAUUAGAAAUAAGAUUCAGCAUGCAUCUUGCCAUGUGACCAAUCCUGGCCUCCAUCACAGAAUUCUAGUUACGUGGUGAACCUGGGAGACCACUCUCUGUCCCCAUCCUGGAC